rnacentral:rRNA from 1 species
CCUACGGGAGGCAGCAGUGAGGAAUAUUGGUCAAUGGACGAGAGUCUGAACCAGCCAAGUAGCGUGAAGGAUGACUGUCCUAUGGGUUGUAAACUUCUUUUAUAUGGGAAUAAAAUGUUCCACGUGUGGGAGUUUGUGUGUACCAUAUGAAUAAGGAUCGGCUAACUCCGUGCCAGCAGCCGCGGUAAUACGGAGGAUCCGAGCGUUAUCCGGAUUUAUUGGGUUUAAAGGGAGCGUAGGCGGAUUGUUAAGUCAGUUGUGAAAGUUUGCGGCUCAACCGUAAAAUGGCAGUUGAAACUGGCAGUCUUGAGUACGGUAGAGGUAGGCGGAAUUCGCGGUGUAGCGGUGAAAUGCUUAGAUAUCACGAAGAACUCCGAUUGCGAAGGCAGCUCGCUGGACUGCAACUGACACUGAGGCACGAAAGUGUGGGUAUCAAACAGGAUUAGAUACCCUAGUAGUC